rnacentral:rRNA from 1 species
UACGUAGGGGACGAGCGUUGUCCGGAAUUAUUGGGCGUAAAGAGCUCGUAGGCGGCCUGUCGCGUCGGAUGUGAAAGCCCGGGGCUUAACCCCGGGUCUGCAUUCGAUACGGGCAGGCUAGAGUGUGGUAGGGGAGAUCGGAAUUCCCGGUGUAGUGGUGAAAUGCGUAGAUAUCGGGAGGAACACCAGUGGCGAAGGCGACUUCCUGGCCUGUUCUUGACGCUGAGGCGCGAAAGCUAGGGUAGCAAACGGG